AUUGAACGCUGGCGGCAGGCUUAACACAUGCAAGUCGAACGAGUGGCGGACGGGUGAGUAAUGCUUGGGAAUCUAGCUUAUGGAGGGGGAUAACUACGGGAAACUGUAGCUAAUACCGCGUACCAUAGGAUGAGCCCAAGUGGGAUUAGGUAGUUGGUGAGGUAAAGGCUCACCAAGCCGACGAUCACUAGCUGGUCUGAGAGGAUGACCAGCAACACUGGAACGGAGACACGGCCCAGCCUCCUACGGGAGGCAUCAGUGUGGAAUAUUGCGCAAUGGGGGCGACCUGACGCAGCCAUGCCGCGUGAAUGAAGAAGGCCUUCGGGUUGUAAAGUUCUUUCGGUAGCGAGGCGUUAACUACAGAAGAAGCACCGGCUAACUCCGUGCCAGCAGCCGCGGUAAUUC
rnacentral:rRNA from 1 species